UACGUAGGUGACAAGCGUUGUCCGGAUUUACUGGGCGUAAAGAGCGCGCAGGCGGUCGAUCAAGUCGCGUGUGAAAGCCCCCGGCUCAACUGGGGAGGGUCACGCGAUACUGAUCGACUCGAAGGCAGGAGAGGGUAGUGGAAUUCCCGGUGUAGUGGUGAAAUGCGUAGAGAUCAUGAGGAAGACCAGUGGCGAAGGCGGGUCUCUGGACAGUUCCUGACACUGAGACACGAAGGCCAGGGGAGCAAACGGG
rnacentral:rRNA from 1 species